rnacentral:rRNA from 1 species
GACGAACGCUGGCGGCGUGCUUAACACAUGCCAGUCGAACGGAAAGGCCCUGCUUUUGUGGGGUGCUCGAGUGGCGAACGGGUGAGUAACACGUGAGUAACCUGCCCUUGACUUUGGGAUAUCUUCAGGAAACUGGGGCUAAUACCGGAUAGGAGCUCCUGCUGCAUGGUGGGGGUUGGAAAGUUUCGGCGGUUGGGGCUGGACUCGCGGCUUAUCCGCUUGUUGGUGGGGUAGUGGCUUACCAAGGCUUUGACGGGUAGCCGGCCUGGGAGGGGGAACGGCGACAAUGGGACUGAGAGACGGCGCAGACUCCUACGGUAGGCAGCAGUGGGGAACAUUGCACAAUGGGCGGAAGCGUGAGGCAGCAACGCUGCGUGCGGGAAGACGGCUUUCGGGUUGUAAACCGCUUUGGCCGGUAACGAAGCGUUAGUGACGGUAAUUGGUAAAGAAGCAACGGCUAACUACGUG